AUUGAACGCUGGCGGCAGGCCUAACACAUGCAAGUCGAACGCGUGGCGGACGGGCGAGUCAUGGCUUGGAAACUGCCUGAUGGCGGGGGAUAACUCCUGGAAACGGUAGCUUAUACCGCAUACCAUCGGAUGUGCCCAGAUGGGAUUAGCUAGUAGGUGGGGUAACGGCGUACCUAGGCGCAGAUCCCUAGUUGGUCUGUUAGGUAGACCAGCCACACUGGAACUGAGACACGGUCCAGACUCCUACGGUAGGCAGCAGUGGGGAAUAUUGCACAAUGGGCGCAAGCCUGAUGCAGCCAUGCCGCGUGUAUGAAGAAGGCCUUCGGGUUGUAAAGUACUUUCAGCGGGGAGGCGUUACCCGCAGAAGAAGCACCGGCUAACUCCGUGCCAGCCGCCGAGGUAAUAC
rnacentral:rRNA from 1 species